GUCUGCAUGGGACCCCCAUCUUUGUCCUCUGAACCUACCACUUACUCAACAGUGGAUUGCAAACUUAUGACUGAGUGGAAAGGACCAUACCCAGCUCAUUGUGGAUAGUUCCAGUUGCAUACAUGCUCAUGUCUCUUGUCAUUAGGUUUCUGUUGGGACCACUGGCACGUAGGCAGCUUUUUAAAUGGUACCUAGUUCUCUUGUGCAGGUGAUGUGACGACAUGAGCCCAAAGCCCAUUGAGGCUCAGCAGAGGAGUCACACAGCAUCCCAGCACACAUGCCUACUCCUAGCAGCAUGAUCUGCUUUUAAUAGAAUAUAUGUAUAAGAAAAGGAUCUGGACCAUAAAUGUAUGGUAUAAAAAAUAAUUCUACACACCUGAAUAAACACCACCCAGGCCAAGAAAAAGACCACCACCAUUCCACAAGCCCCAAGGAGUCCUCCCUGACAUUCCCCUCCCCACCCGAAACCCGUCCUGAAACUGCCACACUCACGUCCUUCCUUCCCUUCACAUGUUACUUUGAUUUAUGCCUUUGUGUGCACCUGAAAUGCUUUGUGAAAAUCUUCUCAAAAGGAAGUUUAGUGUGGUGGGAAGGGCGCAGACCUUGGACUCAGAAAGACCAGGCUUUAAAUCCCAGCCUGCCUGGCUACCUACUAGAGGUGUGACCUCCUCCAAGCCUUUCCCUCAUCUGUAUAAGCAAAUGCAAACACUCACACCUCCCAGGAUUGUCAUCAGGAUUCAAAUCACAGACUCCACGUUUAUUCAACAAGUUUACUGAGACCUCUUGAGGCCUGAGCCCUGUAGAAACUGGAGAUGAAUCAAACCCAGGCUUUACCCUCAAGAAGCUCACAAUUUGGAAACAGGUAACUACAAAAACAUCACAGCCAGUAAGUGCUUUGAAACAGGGAGAGAAAUAAGGAUGUAGUGUUUAUAAAUCCGGAGUCAAAACCUAACCGCAGAGAGAGGCAGGAGGGUCUGCAGCAUCCCGUAUGCAGAGACGAGCUUGGGGCCAUCUAGACAGGCUCUGUCCACAGAGGCAGCCACAUCCGCACGGGUCUCUGGAGUCACUGCAGGCUGGUCCACUGCAAGGAGGUAUAGACCACCUUCCCGUCAGGCUGAGGAGAACACAGCAGCAGCGUCUUUCUGACGCUGGUUCCCAGGCGGCCCGCAGAAACCAGAUCCUGCAGUGGAAUGGGGUCCCCCGGAGCCCAGCACUGAGCAAUGUAGUGGGCGUGGAAACGAAGGGGGUCACCUGGGUGAGAGAGAGACACGUAGCAGUUCCCAGUGGCAGAGGGCUGGAAGACACCGGAAUGUCCACAGCUGCUAAGAAACGGAGACAACCAAACCACAGACUUAAGUUCAUGGUCUCUCCGUAAGACUGAGUAUCACACAGCUGUUGAAACGAGAAGAAUGUACCAACGUGGAGAAGUCGACGAUACCCUGCGUGGGGAGAGAGGGGGUGGGGCAAGCUGUCCCACACAUUCAGCAUAAUCGUAUUUAAAAAACAAAACAACUAACGGAAUAGAUCACUGUCGUGACGUAAGAACCACGACCACAAAGUCCGUCAAAGCCACGAGGAACGCAAAGGAUGUCACGUGAAUAUCCAAGGGGAAGUGACUCUAACAGACUAAAAGAACUUACAAGACGACGGAGUAAUAAAUAGGUGGGAUAAAGGAGUUCACACAAUUUCUCAGGAAAGGGCCCGACAGUGAGUGUUUGGUUUUACAGCCGCGUCACAAGCACUCACCUCUGCCGCUUUGGCACCACAGGAACCACAGGCCGUACGUGAGCAGACAGGGCUGCCUCCCAGUAACCUGACCUGCGCUCUGCCCCUGGAUCAGGUAAAUCUGACUGAUCAAGGAGAGCCGGAGCCAGAAUGGGGCCCCACCCAGAAGGUUCGGUGCCAGCUAACGAAAACCAGCGAGAGCAGGGCGGUGAGAUGUCCCACUGAGAGGACCCUCGGCCGGCUUUCCAGCCAGCAGCUGUUGUGACACCUCUGGCCGUGCAGAAGGAAGCAUCGAAACCCCUGGGAAGCUGCCUCAAAACUGUUCCAAGGGGCGCCUGGGUGGCUCAGUCGGUUAAGCGACUGCCUUUGGCUCAGGCCAUGAUCCUGGAGUCCCGGGAUCGAGUCCCGCAUCGGGCGCCCUGCUCGGCGAGGAGCCUGCUUCUCCCUCUGACCCUCCCCCCUCUCAUGUGCUCUCUCUCUCUCAUUCUCGCUCUCUCAAAUAAAUAAAUCUUAAAAAAAAAAAAAAAAAAAAACUGUUCCAAGACGCCUAGUGCCUUUAUUAAGUUCGGGAAGCUUUACUGUCAGAAAUAAGUAAGGGCCUCAGUCCUUGAAUAUUCUAAUCUUCAGGAAACAAAGAUUCUACAUAUACCUCAUACACCGAGUAUGUAUUCUUUUAGAAAUAUUGACCCAUUAGAACUAACAGGUCAGUCAUUUGGUUCAGUUUCAGAUGUGUGAUGGAGUUAUUGGUGGAUUUACCCUUAUUUUAACCGGAAGUUUUAGUAAGGCCAUUAACAGUAUUAGAACAUGUAAACUUAAAACUUACUCCAUUUACAAGUUAUUAGAUCUGAGUUUUUGGCAAGUUCCAUAACCUGAACACCAUACAACUUAAAAAGGAAAAUAAACAUAUUAAAAUUUAAAAU